AGCGAACGCUGGCGGCAGGCCUAACACAUGCAAGUCGAGCGCCCCGCAAGGGGAGCGGCAGACGGGAGAGUAACACGUGGGAACGUGCCCUUUGGUUCGGAACAACCCAGGGAAACUUGGGCUAAUACCGGAUAAGCCCUCACGGGGAAAGAUUUAUCGCCGAAGGAUCGGCCCGCGUCUGAUUAGCUAGUUGGUGGGGUAAUGGCCCACCAAGGCGACGAUCAGUAGCUGGUCUGAGAGGAUGAUCAGCCUCACUGGGACUGUAGACACGGCCCAGACUCCUACGGGAGGCAGCAGUGGGGAAUAUUGGACAAUGGGCGCAAGCCUGAUCCAGCCAUGCCGCGUGGGUGAUGAAGGCCCUAGGGUUGUAAAGCCCUUUCGGCGGGGAAGAUAAUGACGGUACCCGCAGAAGAAGCCCCGGCUACUUCGUGCCAGCAGCCGCAGUAAUAC
rnacentral:rRNA from 1 species